AUUGAACGCUGGCGGCAGGCCUAACACAUGCAAGUCGAGCGGAUGAGUGGAGCUUGCUUUUAUAGAGACCGGCAAACGGGUGCGGAACACGUACGCAAUCUGCCCUUAUCUUGGGGAUAGCCCAUAGAAAUGUGGAUUAAUACCCAAUAGUAUAUUUGGAUGGCAUCAUUUAAAUAUUAAAGAACUUCGGAUAAGGAUGAGCGUGCGUAAGAUUAGCUAGAUGGUGAGGUAACGGCUCACCAUGGCAACGAUCUUUAGCUGAUGUGAGAGCAUGAUCAGCCACACGGGCACUGAGACACGGGCCCGACUCCUACGGGAGGCAGCAGUGAGGAAUAUUGGUCAAUGGGCGGAAGUCUGAACCAGCCAUGCCGCGUGAAGGAUGAAGGCGUUCUGCGUUGUAAACUUCUUUUAUCAGGGAAGAAACCACAGAUUUCUAUUUGUGUUGACGGUACCUGAGGAAUAAGCACCGGCUAACUCCGUGCCAGCCGCCGCUGUAAAAC
rnacentral:rRNA from 1 species